CGCCCGCCGCGUCACCACGCCACCGCCGCCGCCGUCUCUUGCCGCCGCCCGCCCACGCAAAUCGAUAUUACUGUACCGCCGCACAUGUACGCUUUUAUUGCCACACGUAUAAACAUUUUAUGAUAAUUUAAAAAGUUUUAUCUCGCGGUUCUUCAAUACCAUACGCAUUGCAAUUUUUCACAUCACCGCCUUCCGACGGUUAUCGCUUUGUUUCGAGCGCGACAUUUUUACUCCACAAAGUAAACAAUAAAGUAGACAAAUAACGUAGGUACGCUAGAAACAGCUGACUUUCAACGUAACAGCUGUUCGUAUGGAGACUACAAAGGCGUCGAGCUUUAAAACGAGGUAUUUUAAUUAGAAAUCUUAAAUCAGUUUACAGUUGCUCAAUUUUAUUACCCUCAAUUUAUUGGGGUACUGAUAUAUAGCCUGGUGAAGUAAUCCAGAGUUUCGAUUGACGUAUUUUACGGUAAGUGUGACUUUUGAUGUUGUAAAUAUAACGGCGAGGUGACUUUACGCGUAUGAACUCGUGUUAAUAGAUUGUGUAAAAUAUGCGUGUGGUUUGAGCACAUGAGGGCGCGCGAGUACGUGAAGGUCGGUGCUUGCGUCGACGCAGCGUCGCCUGUCCAGGGAAGUUGGCAAUGUGCGCGGGCGCGUCACUCGCGGUGACGCGACUCGUUAGGCGUUGACUCGUCCGUGGCUCCCGCGUCUGUGCCGUCAGUUCAACCUUGCGCGCGCUUAGGACAUGUACGUGUUAUGGAUUACCAAUGCAUCGUCGUGUACACGGUCAUCAACAUCGCUUCUCCGCGUCUCACGGCACAGGCCGCGGACUUCUCCGACGGCUGUAUCACCUGGUUCAAAAACAAAAUUAAAAGAGCGGUAGCAGUUUACCUUCACUCAUUGAAAAUAACACCGAACAGCGGUCUAGCCCAGGGAAACCUGGCAUGCACCUAUUACAAACAAGGCCUAAUAGAUUUAGCGAUAGAGACGUACAAGAGGGCUAUAGAGAUCCAGCCCAAUUUUCCAGAUGCCUAUUGCAAUCUUGCUAAUGCUCUCAAAGAAAAGGGACUAGUUUCCGAGGCGGAGGAGUGCUAUAACAAAGCUUUACGUUUAUGUCCCCUCCACGUUGACACUCUCAACAACCUGGGCAAUGUCAAAAGGGAACAAGGAAAAAUUGAAGAAGCUACCGUAUUGUACACGAGAGCACUGGAAGUAUUCCCUAACUUUGCAGCCACUCAUAGUAAUUUAGCAUCACUUUUACAGCAACAAGGGAAACUCCACGAAGCGUUAAUGCAUUAUAAGCUAGCCAUAAAUAUGCAACCAAACUUUGCGGACGCAUACAGCAAUAUGGGAAACACUCUUAGAGAAAUGCAGGAUAUAUCCGGCGCUGUUAUUUGCUUUACAAAAGCAAUAGAAAUAAACCCGUCAUUUGCAGAUGCACAUAGCAAUUUGGCAAGCAUUCACAAAGAUAUGGGCAACAUUUCCGAAGCUAUUGACUCUUAUAAGACAGCAUUGAAGCUUAAACCUGACUUCCCGGAUGCUUACUGUAACCUGACUCAUUGUCUACAAAUAGUGUGUGAUUGGGACGAUUACGAGGAACGUAUUCAAAAUGUUGUCUUGAUCGUUGACAAACAAUUAAAUAGUGAAAAAUUAUCGUCCGUUCAUCCUCAUCAUUCCAUCUUAUAUCCAUUAUCUAACGAAGCUAGAAAGGAAAUUGCCGCGCGGCAUGCCAAUUUAUACUCUGAAAAAGUAAGUAUGUGCGAUAAAAUUACUUUUCAAUAUGAAAGAAAGUUGCGAGGACGUUUACGGGUGGGUUAUGUCAGUAGCGACUUUGGUAAUCACCCUACAUCACAUUUAAUGCAGUCUAUACCAGGUUUGCACAAUCAAUGUGAACUGGAAAUCUUCUGCUAUGCUUUGAAUCCUGACGAUGGUACAACAUUCCGUAGUAAAAUGGUGAAUGAAUCUGAACAUUUUGUUGAUUUGUCCAAUGUAACGUGUAAUAUAGAAGCUGCUAGAAAAAUUAAUAACGAUGGAAUACAUAUUCUAAUAAAUAUGAAUGGAUAUACAAAAGGAGCAAGAAAUGAAAUCUUCGCUUUAAGACCUGCACCGAUACAAGUUAUGUGGUUGGGCUAUCCGGGGACCAGUGGUGCAAGUUAUAUGGAUUAUGUAAUAACUGAUGAAAUCUCCUCUCCGCUAUCGUCGGCGUCUGAUUUUAGUGAAAAGUUUGCAUAUAUGCCACAUACAUAUUUUGUCGGAGAUCAUAGGCAAAUGUUUCCACAUCUGAAGGAACGAUAUAACGUCAAAGUUAAAGAAAAUAAUUUGAAUGAAAACGUAGCUUUAAUUAAUUCAUCCGAAGAUUUUAAUAUGUCUGAAAAAUUUUGUGUACUUGAAAGAAAAGAGAUAAUAACGUACGGUUGUUUUGAACCAAUAGAAGUUAAUGUUAGAGAAAUUAACAUUCCGAAUUACGUAAUUGAAUCGACAAUAAAUCCCAGGCAAGUGCAGGUUUACUUUAACGGAGUAACUAUUAGCAAUGGUAUAUCGAUAAACUAUACCAAUAAGAAAGUUGCAUCCGGUGAAGAAGUUUUAGACAAUAUUGUAUUUACUUCAAGAAAACAGUAUGGUCUUCCAAUCGACGCCGUAGUUUACUGCAAUUUCAACCAGUUGUACAAAACAGACCCCAAGGUAUUAGAAAUGUGGGUGAGAAUACUAAAAUUGGUACCAAACAGUGUACUUUGGUUGUUAAGUUUUCCGGCUGCUGGAGAGCCAAAUGUACGGAAAUAUGUACAGAAUUUAGGGUUGCCCGCUGAUCGAGUUGUAUUUUCAAAAAUUGCUUGCAAGGAAGAGCAUGUGCGUCGGGGGCAGUUAGCUGAUGUCUGCCUCGACACGCCCCUGUGUAACGGUCACACAACUGCAAUGGAUGUGUUGUGGGCUGGAACACCUGUAGUCACCUUACCUGGAGACACCCUAGCCUCGAGAGUCGCUGCAUCGCAGUUGAAUACAUUGUGCUGUCCUGAACUUAUAGCCAGGAAUACACAGGAGUAUGAAGACAUUGCGGUCAAGUUGGGAACCGAUAUGAAAUAGCAAGUUUAUUUAUAAUUAUUUUAUUAUAAGAAGUAAAUGCCAAGAAUAUGUGUUAUACUAUAUAUUCUAGUCUCCAGUAUGUCCGAGCUAAGGUUUCCAAGGCCAGACUGACCAGUACUUUGUUUGACUGUACUCACUAUGCGAGGGGUUUGGAAUCACUUUACUUUAAAAUGUGGAGACGAUAUGAAAAUUUAGAUAAACCCGAUCAC